AACGAACGCUGGCGGCAUGCCUAACACAUGCAAGUCGAACGAUUGCCUUCGGGUGAUAGUGGCGCACGGGUGCGUAACGCGUGGGAAUCUGCCCUUAGGUUCGGAAUAACAGCUGGAAACGGCUGCUAAUACCGGAUGAUAUCGCGAGAUCAAAGAUUUAUCGCCUGAGGAUGAGCCCGCGUUGGAUUAGGUAGUUGGUGGGGUAAAGGCCUACCAAGCCGACGAUCCAUAGCUGGUCUGAGAGGAUGAGCAGCCACACUGGGACUGAGACACGGCCCAGAAUCCUACGGGAGGCAGCAGUGGGGAAUAUUGGAAAAUGGGCGCAAGCAUGAUCCAGCAAUGCCGCGUGAGUGAUGAAGGCCGUAGGGUUGUAAAGCUCUUUUACCCGGGAAGAUAAUGACUGUACCGGGAGAAUAAGCCCCGGCUAACUCCGUG
rnacentral:rRNA from 1 species